AGAAGCGACGCAUGCGCCCGCC
rnacentral:sRNA from 1 species